rfam:Canis lupus familiaris chromosome 2, whole genome shotgun sequence.
UGGCUCAGUUGGUAGAGCAUGGGGCUCCUGAUCUCAGAGUUGUGGGUUUGAGCCCCAC